GCCUCGUAAGCCCCGCCCCCGGAGGCGCCGGGAAAUUGGUGGAAAACACCUUCGGCUUCCCAGUGUGGAUCAGGCGUGAGGAGUGAGAGAAACUAGGAACUUCUCUGAAUACCUAAUGAGCCUGCAUGAAUUUAAUCAUCUCCAGGACUUUAGAGAGCCAUGAAAACAUCCCUGGGCUAGCUUGCUAGGGAAAUGUAAGGAACACCUGGAGGAGAGCUGUGUUAUCCCUAUGCCGACCAUCCUACACCAUCCAGGCUCCUGAGGGCCUCCAGCUGACCAGAGAUAGAUCCCACUGA